GCAGGCAGGCAGAUCUGCGCCGGCUUCCAAGUGCUGUGGGACAGCUCUGUACCUGCCCGUAGGUCUUCAGGCUGACCCGCAGCAAGGUGGAUGACGACAAGUCUCGCAUCCUGAUCCGCGGCCUCCUGGACCACCCGGCCCUGGAGGAGCUGGACCUGUCGCACAACCUCAUUGGGGACCGUGGGGCGCGUGCCGCCGCCAAGCUGCUGAGCCACAGCCGCCUGCGUGUCCUCAACCUGGCCAACAACCAGGUGCGCGCCCCCGGCGCCCAGUCGCUGGCUCACACCCUGGC
rnacentral:miRNA from 1 species